rfam:Paracoccus aminophilus JCM 7686, complete genome.
CAUGGCGGGGAUCGCCCCCCGUCAGCGCGUUGCGCCCACGGGGGCAACACUG